GUCUUUAACCAGUCCAACUCUUGGCAGGUACAGAAUACUAAAGGACCAUUUUAUUUCUAAAUGAGUCUGGAUGGCGCACCACAAAGACUGGAAAUGCUACUGCCCUUUCAUUUUAAAUGCAAUUAAGGACCCCGGUGGAUCCAAUCAAGGAAUCACACGAAUGGCUGAAUAUGGUGGACUUGUGAAAGAUCAGGGCAUUCAGGCUGGUGACAUUCCUCCUGGCGAGCAGAUCCAUCCUGGGCCGGGGGUGAAAAAUGCAGCACCGCGCUACUGCUCAGCUGCAGAUGAAUGGAGCUAUCUGUCUUGUCACGAGGGGUCGGCGGGAGAGGUUACAGCCCAACUGUACCUGGUCUCUGAUGCUGAUGCCUGCACGCCGCUUCCCUUUACAAGAGAAGAAACAGAAAAACAGAAGAGAGGGAGAGACAGAGAGAGGGAGAAACAAAUCCUGCCCCAUCAAGCACUUCUUCAGUCCCUCCAGAGCCCAUCUCACUUCCCAUCAUCCCACAGUCCUGCUGCCCUGAGCGCAGGCUUUGACACAUCUAUAUGUUUUUCCUUCUGA
ensembl:lncRNA